GUCAAGCAACUAAGCGCAUCUGGUGGAUGCCUUGGCGGCAACAGGCGAUGAAGGACGUAGUAGCCUGCGAUAAGUCACGGGGAGCUGGCAAACAAGCUUUGAUCCGUGAAUUUCCGAAUGGGGCAACCCGGCCCGCAAGGGUCAUCCUGCACUGAAUUCAUAGGUGUAGGAGGCGAACCCGGAGAACUGAAACAUCUAAGUACCCGGAGGAAAGGAAAUCAAUGAUACUCCCCCAGUAGCGGCGAGCGAACGGGGACCAGCCGAGCCUUGAGAGUGAUCGGAACAUGCUGGAAAGCAUGGCCAUAGCGGGUGACAGCCCCGUACGAGAAGCUCGAUGGGACGUAUUAAGUAGGGCGGGACACGUGAAAUCCUGUCUGAAGAUGGGGGGACCACCCUCCAAGCCUAAGUACUCCUCAGCGACCGAUAGCGAACCAGUACCGUGAGGGAAAGGUGAAAAGCACCCCGACGAGGGGAGUGAAACAGUACCUGAAACCGAACGCCUACAAUCAGUCGGAGCUCCUUACGGAGUGACGGCGUACCUUUUGUAUAAUGGGUCAUCGACUUGGUCUAUCUAGCAAGCUUAAGCCGGUAGGUGUAGGCGCAGCGAAAGCGAGUCUUAAUAGGGCGUCGAGUUAGAUGGAUCAGACCCGAAACCGAGUGAUCUAGGCAUGACCAGGAUGAAGGUAAGGUAACACUUACUGGAGGUCCGAACCCACACCUGUUGAAAAAGGUCGGGAUGAGUUGUGCCUAGGGGUGAAAGGCCAAUCAAACUCGGAGAUAGCUGGUUCUCCGCGAAAUCUAUUUAGGUAGAGCGUCAUCCGAAUACCCCGGGGGGUAGAGCACUGGAUGGGUAAUGGGGCCCCACAGGCUUACUGAUCCUAACCAAACUCCGAAUACCCGGGAGUACUAGAUGGCAGACACACUGCGGAUGCUAACGUCCGUAGUGGAGAGGGAAACAACCCUGACCUACAGCUAAGGCCCCCAAUUCAUGGCUAAGUGGGAAAGCAGGUGGGACGACCAAAACAACCAGGAGGUUGGCUUAGAAGCAGCCACCCUUUAAAGAAAGCGUAAUAGCUCACUAGUCGAGUCGGCCUGCGCGGAAGAUGUAACGGGGCUAAGCAAUAUACCGAAGCUGCGGCAGCACGUAAGUGCUGGGUAGGGGAGCGUUGUGUAAGUGGAUGAAGGUGAAUCGAGAGGUUUGCUGGACAUAUCACAAGUGCGAAUGCUGACAUGAGUAACGAUAAUGGGGGUGAAAAACCCCCACGCCGGAAGACCAAGGUUUCCUGUCCCAUGCUAAUCAGGGCAGGGUAAGUCGGCCCCUAAGGCGAGGCAGAAAUGCGUAGUCGAUGGGAAACGGGUUAAUAUUCCCGUACUUUUAUAUACAGUGAUGGGGUGACGGAGAAGGCUAGGCUGGCGUGGCGUUGGUUGUCCACGUGAAAGUGCGUAGGCUGGUGACUUAGGUAAAUCCGGGUUGCUAAGGCCGAGACACGAGACGAGCUACUACGGUAGCGAAGCAGUUGAUGCCCGGCUUCCAGGAAAAUCCUCUAAACGUAUGUAUAUAAGAACCGUACCCCAAACCGACACAGGUGGUCAGGUAGAGAAUACUAAGGCGCUUGAGAGAACUCGGGUGAAGGAACUCGGCAAAAUAGUACCGUAACUUCGGGAGAAGGUACGCCCCUGUUUGUGAAGGACUUGCUCCGUAAGCAGAUGGGGGUCGCAGUGACCAGAUGGCUGGGACUGUUUAUUAAAAACACAGCACUGUGCUAAAUCGAAAGAUGACGUAUACGGUGUGACACCUGCCCGGUGCCGGAAGGUUAAUUGAUGGGGUUAGCGUAAGCGAAGCUCUUGAUCGAAGCCCCGGUAAACGGCGGCCGUAACGAUAACGGUCCUAAGGUAGCGAAAUUCCUUGUCGGGUAAGUUCCGACCUGCACGAAUGGUGUAACCAUGGCCAUGCUGUCUCCACCCGAGACUCAGUGAAAUCGAAAUCGCAGUGAAGAUGCUGUGUACCCGCACCUAGACGGAAAGACCCCGUGAACCUUUACUACAGCUUGGCACUGAACAUUGACCCUACAUGUGUAGGAUAGGUGGGAGGCUUUGAAGCGUUGUCG
rnacentral:rRNA from 14 species